CAAAAAAGAACAAUAGCGCCGCCGCCUCGCCCACCCCCGCCGCCGGCCUCCAACUCCAAGCAUCCCCUAAUCCCGCCGCCGAUGGCGACUGCGACGGGGACGCCCCGGCUCCUACCGAAUACUUGUACUGGACUCGAGUGUACAACACCACCUCCUCCUCGUAAAUACCUUCUACUGUUCUGGGAAUCUGGGCCAACUAGGCGGAGUGGAGAGGGCAAGGACGCCGCAUUGGAAAAGGAACAGGGCAAUAUGUAUUUUCAAACUGAAGAAGUUUGCUGAAGCGGUUGAGUGCUACUCGACAAUCCAGUGUAACUCAUGGAGGAAUGCCCAAGAGAAGUUCAGUUGGAGGUAAACAUAUGAUUUCUGAAUCAGGUAAAGCUGGAUAUAAAAAAUAUAUCACCUGUCAUCCACCAAGCAGUUUCCUGAUUCCUGAAGACGCACAUGAUGAUGAAACUGUGGGGGACCCGAGGCGUCAUCCCUGUUCGAGGAUCCAUCGGAAAGACCGAGGAGUGCAACUAGCAAUGCCACAACUUGGUGGGCCAAGCAAAAGCCAGAAAUAUAUGUACAUAAUCUUGCAUCAUGUGCUACUUCACAGUAUAUCACCACUGUAAAGAGUGUGAAGACACCAAGGACAGCUUACGAUUUUGAGGUUUCUUGGGGAGCAUGACCUUGCACAGAAAAUACAGUUGUUAAAGAGAUUGGCAAAUCCGAGGAGGUGGAACGCAUGUCUCCAAGACCGUGUCGCGCUGACCUCUGUAGAACAACCCCACCUUGAUAUGGCAUGAAUCAACGCAAAACAUAGCCAUAAGCGCCUAGAAGAGUCGGCGAGUGAAUGACAAGAGUCGACCAAACCGGACAAAGACACCGCCAAAGAAAAUUUGAUCAUGGUGUACAUUGUGCCUCAGAGGCCCAUGUUUUUUGGCAGCAGCAGACUCCGGCUCGAUCCGCCUUUUCCAGGUACUUCACGACCAACCCAAGCAAACACAUUCAAGAAGGUAGCGACACCGGGGUGCGUCAUCGCCGGAUAUAGACUUUCCCUUGGUGCUCGUGGUUGGGAAGCACAAGGCCACGAUGAUGCUUAAGGAGGGAGACGACGCCCUCAAGCGUUUCCAUCGCCAAUAAAAGCUAAUAGACCACCAUCGAAUGGGGUUGGAUGGUGAGAGACACCGAGGUCCAUCAACAGCUCGCCUCACAACCGCUCAGAGACGAGCCGCAACGUCACCGGAGUAAUGAAAACAUGUUCUCCCACCGAUACCACCAUCAAAUGUUGUUGGAUGGUGGGGAUCUAGCCCGUUGCCACCUGGCCAACUGUCGGCACCACCACGGUGCCUAGCAACCAGUGGUGUAGGCGCCACCGCGUUUGCCUGCCACCACAACCUUGAUCUGCAGGCCUGCACAUGCUCAAAUGCGCCAAGUGGGCUCGCAAGCCGCGUACAUGGCAGAAGGGGCAGCUCCACCACGGGUAGGUUGCGCCUCUCCUCAGUCGAUGUCAUGGCACGCUUUGCAUGUGGGUCCUUGCAGUAUCUUGCCACUGAAACUCUAUCGAAAACCGUGCUGCCGCGUGAGAGAGAAGGCAUUGCCGCGUCGUUACUGCAUGGGCUUCGUUCAAUGGUUGCACCACGACCUCCUCCGAGGCGAAUAGGUAGGGAGGCUGGGGAGUGGUUUUAUGUGUGGGCGUUGGUGGCUACUCCGCAGUCGCCCCAGAGCCAGUGGCGGGUACCAGGUAAACAAUAAAAUCUUUGUAAACUAGCUAUUUUUCACCAUGUGUGACACCCCUAAAACAGUUGUUUUGGCAGCUGGGGCCUGAUCGUCAUUGCUCUAGCUCCGCCACUGUCCAGAGCGAUCAAGAGGCUAGGGUUUCCAACUACUUUGCUGUGUGAAUAUUCGUUUUUAUGUGUGUGAACAUUUCAUGGAUAUUGGCUCGUUUUUGCAACCGAAGUGGAUUCAUUGUUGGGCUACAGAUUCGCAAAAGAAAGGAAAAGGAAAUCUCUCGGGACAGACCUCUAAAUGGGCCAGGCCCGCUGGAUGCUCGAUACCUGAAGUACUUCAUUUUUGCGACCUGGGCUGACUUGACCGAAGCGUGCCUUCCGGCCCAGGACUAUCGUGCGAACCGAUGGUGGAACUGAACGCACGCGGGCGGACGCGCCUUGUUUCGUGUUUAGUCCCACAUCGGACAACUAUGUCGCCAACAGGCUACAUAAAAGGCUUUCUCUAUCGGUACGAGCAACAAGCCGAGCCCGGUAGCGUGGGCUCUUAACCCAGAUGGAAGGGGGCAGCAGUUCGGGAUGACGAGAAAGGAGUUGAGUAUGAGGGUGACCAGCUUGCCGGGCCCGCCCCCGGGGGCCCGUAACCGUAGGUCAUUUGUGAUCGGGGCAGGCCCACCACUACUCCCUCAACGUGACUUGCUAGGCCCGCCCCCGGGGGUCUGUUACCGUAGGUCAUUUGUGUUCGGAGUAAGGCCCAUCUCUACCGACUGCUAACAACUUUUUUGCUAUGUUUUUUUUUUCAUCCGC